rnacentral:rRNA from 1 species
GCCUACGGGGCGCAGCAGUGGGGGAUAUUGGACAAUGGGGGGAACCUUGAUCCAGCGACGCCGCGUGAGUGAAGAAGUAUUUCGGUAUGUAAAGCUCUGUCAGCAGGGAAGAAAGAAAUGACGGUACCUGACCAAGAAGCCCCGGCUAACUACGUGCCAGCAGCCGCGGUAAUACGUAGGGAGCGAGCGUUGUCCGGAUUUACUGGGUGUAAAGGGUGCGCAGGCGGCUCUGCAAGUCAGGCGUGAAAGCUAGGGGCUCAACCCCUAAAUUGAGCUUGAAACUGGGGAGCUUGAGUGAAGUAGAG